GACACAGAGACAGCGGCUCGCAGCAGAACGGAUCGCUCACACGAGAGCCGUGUGGUUAGCGGGGCCAUCUGACAGACAGGCGUCUUCUCCGUUUUUCAUUUCGUCCCAUCUCGCCCUCCAGGGAGUGCCAGGUAGCUCACACGGUCCUGCUCCUCUCCACUGUAUCACACUUUGACCAGGUGAGCUAAGCGAGGCUGUGAACCUGUGAUCGGCUCAAAGUCACCAGGUAGCUUCACGGCGGAGCAGGAACUUGAACCCGGGUCUCCUGAAUUCCAGCUUGGAUUUGCAACGUAACUCCGGUGUAGUUCUCAGGGGCACAUCAGCCCUGCAGCUGCCCCAGCUGAAGGUUCUGCGAGAACAGAAACUGGCCGGGAGCAAACAGCCGCGCUGGAUUCCCCGGCCACGACGAGACCAGAUCUGUUUUCUAUUGACAUGCCAUUUAUAAUGUGCUGUCAUAUGAAAGGAGAGAUUACGAGUUGUCUCAACAAUUAACAUCAGCUUCUGGAUGUACACAAAUGUUUACAUUAUGUAACAUGGAUGCAUCGGUUAAGGGAUACAACCGCUGCGUUUUUGCUCUGUUGUCUAAAAGGAUGUGACCAAAUGAGGUUAUUGCUCCGUUAGGGGUAUUCCAGAACCCCUUCAUCUGAUGUUUCAGUAAGUAAACUAAAAUUAGUCUUCAGGUCUUUUA